UUUUAGUAAAGAUGAGUUUCUCCAUGUUGCCCAGGCUGGUCUCAAACUCCUGGGCUUGGGGGCUUCGUAUUUUGAAACACAUGUGAGAGGCUCUCGGAACUGGAAGGAAGGAUUGGUGCCCUCAGGUUUCCUGAACUCACUGUUGUUCCUGCUUCCUAGUAAGGGCUGCCAGGGAUGGCAGAUCAGUGUCCUUCUCUCACCUUGCCGGAGAUACCUGGGAGUUUAUACCACUCUACACCUGCAGGGGGGCCACUGAGUGAAUUAGGGAAGCAAAAGCCUGACUUCUUUGCCUCAAAUGGUACAACACUAUGGUGCUAUUUAAAAAAUAGCUUUCAGGGGGCCAUUUGGUCUUAGCCACGCUGAAGUCGGGUGGGUCGUUUGUUUUCACUGUCGGACUGCAUGGGAUGAUGAUGUUGAGCACCGAAGGUGGAGAGGGGUUUGCGGUGAAGCUUCGGGGCUUGCACUGAUCUUGCUCGUUCGACGAAAUGCAGAGGUUUUUUUUUUUGACUGUGAAAUUCAAAAUGGGGCUUAAGGUAUUUGUUCCAUCUGCACCAGAGAAGGCAGACUGUGUGGCCAGGCUUUUGUUGAACUUGAAUCAGAAGAUGAAGUGAAAUUGGCCCUGCAAAAAGACAGAGAAACUAUGGGACCCAGGUUUGAAGUAUUCAUCAGACAACAUGUACAUGGAUUGGGUGUUGAAGCAUGCUGGUCCAUAGUCCUGACACGGUCACUGAUGACUUUGUACGGCUUAGAGCACUUUUCCUUUGGCUAUAGCAAGGAAGAAAUGGUUCAGUUCUUCUCAGGGUUGGAAAUCAUGCCAGACGGGAUAACAUCCCCAGUGGACUUCCAGGGGAGGAGGACGAGGAAGGCCUUUGUGCAGUUUGCUUCACAGGAAAUAGCUGAGAAGGCUCUAAAGAAACACAGGGAAAGAAUAGGGCUCAGGUAUCUUGAAAUCUUUAAGAGCAGUAGAGCUGAAGUUAGAACUCACUAUGAUCCACCAUGAAAGCUUGUGGUCAUGCAGCGGCCAGCUCCCUAUGACAGACCUGGGGCUGGCAGAGGGUAUAACAGUGUUGGCAGAGGAGCUGGCUUUGAGAGGAUGAGGCAUGGUGCUUAUGGUGGAGGCUCUGAUGAUGACAGUGGCUAUAAUGAUGGCUAGAGCUUUGGGUCAGAUAGAUUUGGAAGAGACCUCAAUGACUGUUUUUCAGGGAUGUCGAUCACAGAUACGGGGAUGGUGGCUCUACUUCUCAGAGCACAGCAGGACACUGAGUGCACGUGCGUGGAUUACCUUACAGAAACUGAAAAUGACAUUUAUAAUUUCUUUUCACCGCUCAAUCCUGUGAGAGUACACAUUGAAAUUGGUCCUGAUGGCAGAGUAACUGGGGAAGUAGAUGUUGAGUUUGCAACUCAUGAAGAUGCUGCAGCAGCUGUGUCAAAAGACAAAGCAAAUAUACAACACAGCUAUGCAGAACUCGAAUACUACAGCAGGAGAAAGCGGUGGUGCUUCUGGUAGCCAAAUGGUGAGAGGCAUGAGCUUGUCAAACCAGUCCAGUUAUGGUGGCCCAGCCAGCCAGCAGCUGGGUGGUGGUUAUGGAGGUGGCUAUGGUAGCCAGCGCAGCAUGAGUGGAUACGGUAGCCGAGGAGCAAUGAAUCGCAGCUACUACAGUAGUGGAAGCCGUGCAUCUAUGGGUGUGAAUGGCAUGGGAGGGAUGACUAGCAUGUCCAGUGUGAGUGGUGGAUGGGACUGUAACUGAUUGAUCAUGAUCACUGACUCUUGGUCAACUUUUUUUUAAAGAAAAUAACAAAACUUCAGCUUAACAGUUUCUGCAGUACAAGCUUGUGAUUUAUGCUUAUUCUCUAAGUGGAAAUCAGGAUUGUUAUGAAGACUUAAGGCUCAGUACUUUUGAAUACAGUAAUCAUCUAGGAUGUAACAGUGAAGCUGAGUAA